AGUCGUAACAAGGUUCUCCGUUGGUGACAGCGGAGGGAUCAUU
rnacentral:rRNA from 1 species